GUUGACAAGAGUUGGGAUAUGACUGGACAUUCGAAAACGGCAAGGGCAUGUCAUGUGUGAGGGGAGGCGUAGCAAGGAUUGUAGAGUAAAAAGGAAGACUGUGGUCUGAUCCAUGGUUGGUAAGGCAGGGACGUUUCAACUUUCAAAAUUCAAGUAUUCAAUUUCAAUCCCCCCUCCUGGAGCACUGGAGCAAUCAGCCAAAACCAAAAAACGACCCAUCAUCAUUCAUCAGAUGUCACAAACAAAACCUAACUUAGAUUAGAUGCCCUUUCACUUUCCUUGUAGGCUGAAAACCCCUCAGAAAUGCUCAAAUUUACAACGUUAGACCCUAAUCACCACCACCACGGCACCAUUACCACCGCCACCACAUUUAGCAUGCUCAGACUAGAAGCACAACGUAAUGACUAACGUCAAUAUCAGAUCCUCUGCGACAAUGUCUCACCGUAACAGCCCCGCGCAAGCUCUUCCCUUAGUAGUAACCAUCAACUGCAUCGAGGAUUGCGCGAUCGAGCAAGGCUCUCUAGCCGGCGUC
rnacentral:misc_RNA from 1 species